CUUACUCAUUAUGUUUCUUAAAUAUGUUUUUAUUCUUCUUAUUAAAGUAGAAAAUUAUCUUUCUGAUGUACUAGUUAAAACAGAUAAUUUAGAAAAUAUUUUUAAAAGUAUAUAUUAUACAGUAUGAAAUCUGAGAUCAUUAAACAAAUAAUCGAUUACAAUAUUUUGUGAUUAAUGGUAAAUGAAGAAUUUUGGCAGCUGGAUUUUUGGUACCACUUAUCAAAAAAUUAUGUUACUGCAGCAUUAACACCAUAUUGUAAUACUCGAAUAUUAUUUUUAUAAUUCUAAAUGUUUUAAAUACUGUGGUUCUGUUUGAUUACGAAUAUUUUCAGUUACUAGGAG